rnacentral:lncRNA from 1 species
UGUGCACAGCAUCUCUAGGAUGAAUGCCAGAGUAUCUCCCUGAAGUCUUGGGAGAUGUUGCCUUCAGAUGCCAAGAUAGCCCCAGAAUCGGUCAUCGAGGAUGCUGGUGAGAGAGGAUGCAUUUAAGGUUUUGCACAGCUGAAUCAUGACCUAUAUUACGUCACCAAGCCUUGAAUUUGAUGUAAGCCAGGGUGAAAUCUGGCUUAUCGCUUGUAUUAUAAACAAGGUCUGACAGCAUUUUUCUCCUUCCAACAUGGGAUGAUGUCACUGUAUUGUGGAUAUAUUGUUCAUAUCAGAGGCUUUUGCGAAGAAACUUCAAGUCCAAGAAACUACAAGGCAAAAUCUGUGGUCAUCAAAACUCUCCAGUUGGGCAGUGCCAGCAAAGCACACCAGUAAAAUAAUGAGAGGACUAUCACUAUCACCACCACAAUGAAAACAAUAUUUAGUGGAAAACUUCAAGAAUACUCUUGGAUUCUUUUAUUACUUAAAAAAAAAUCAAGUCAACAAAUCUUUUGCAGUGCUAUUUAUCCUAGACCAAAUGAGAUUCACACACAAUAUAUUUUUAUUAACAGAUUCUGAAUUUUAGUUGCCUCUAGAAUAAUGAUGAGAUAUCUAACACUUUGGUGGCAAAACAAACGGGGGGGAAGAAUGGCACAAGCAAUGUGGCAAAGUCUUUUUCACUCCUUUUUCUGAGAAGGAAAGAGGUAAACAGACCAUAGAGGAGACAUGAGCAUGUUUCUGCAAACCCAGAGGACAUACACCUGAAACUCUACAGAUUCAAAAGCACAAUGAGUAGCAUGUUUCCAGAGACUUCCAAUAAAACAUUUGCACAGUUACAGUUCAGAAGUUUGGAUCAAGUUAACUAAGUCAUAGUCAAGGGUGCUUAGCAGGGUGUGCAGCGUGGGCAAGUUAUAUUCUGCCAGUGUUCAGAGACUGUUAAAGCAAACAGUGGCAAACACAUUAGCCAUCAA